rnacentral:sRNA from 1 species
CCUUAGACCCGAUAGAAGUGGAAAUCCUUUUGUGGCGGGGUUCGCCACAAAAGAUUGGAACGGAUAGCGGGAUUAGCU